rnacentral:rRNA from 1 species
GAUGAACGCUGGCGGCGUGCCUAAUACAUGCAAGUCGAGCGAACAGACGAGGAGCUUGCUCCUCUGACGUUAGCGGCGGACGGGUGAGUAACACGUGGAUAACCUACCUAUAAGACUGGGAUAACUUCGGGAAACCGGAGCUAACACCGGACAAUAUAUUGAACCGCAUGGUUCAAUAGAGAAAGCAGGUUUUGCUGUCACUUUUUGAUGGAUCCGCGCCGCAUUAGCUAGUUGGUAAGGUAACGGCUUACCAAGGCAACGAUGCGUAGCCGACCUGAGAGGGUGAUCAGCCACACUGGAACUGAGACACGGUCCAGACUCCUACGGGAGGCAGCAGUAGGGAAUCUUCCGCAAUGGGCGAAAGCCUGACGGAGCAACGCCGCGUGAGUGAUGAAGGUCUUCGGAUCGUAAAACUCUGUUAGUAGGGAAGAACAAAUGUGUGAGUAACUAUGCACGUCUUGACGGUACCUAAUCAGAAAGCCACGGCUAACUACGUG